CCUACGGUGGGCAGCAGUGAGGAAUAUUGGUCAAUGGGCGCGAGCCUGAACCAGCCAAGUAGCGUGAAGGAUGACUGCCCUACGGGUUGUAAACUUCUUUUAUAAAGGAAUAAAGUGAGGCACGUGUGCCUUUUUGUAUGUACUUUAUGAAUAAGGAUCGGCUAACGCCGUGCCAGCAGCCGCGGUAAGACGGAGGAGACGAGCGUUAUCCGGAUUUAUUGGGUUUAAAGGGCGCGUAGAUGGGUUGUUAAGUCAGUUGUGAAAGUUUGCGGCUCAACCGUAAAAUUGCAAUUGAUACUGGCAGCCUUGAGUACAGUUGAGGUAGGCGGAAUUCGUGGUGUAGCGGUGAAAUGCUGAGAUAUCACGAAGAACUCCGAUUGCGAAGGCAGCCUACUAAACUGCCACUGACAUUGAUGCUCGAAAGUGUGGGUAUCAAACAGGAUUAGAUACCCUUGUAGUC
rnacentral:rRNA from 1 species